rnacentral:rRNA from 1 species
CCUACGGGAGUCAGCAGUGAGGAAUAUUGGUCAAUGGACGAGAGUCUGAACCAGCCAAGUAGCGUGAAGGAUGACUGCCCUAUGGGUUGUAAACUUCUUUUAUAUGGGAAUAAACUGUUCCACGUGUGGGCUUUUGUAUGUACCAUAUGAAUAAGGAUCGGCUAACUCCGUGCCAGCAGCCGCGGUAAUACGGAGGAUCCGAGCGUUAUCCGGAUUUAUUGGGUUUAAAGGGAGCGUAGGUGGAUUGUUAAGUCAGUUGUGAAAGUUUGCGGCUCAACCGUAAAAUUGCAGUUGAAACUGGCAGUCUUGAGUACAGUAGAGGUGGGCGGAAUUCGUGGUGUAGCGGUGAAAUGCUUAGAUAUCACGAAGAACUCCGAUUGCGAAGGCAGCUCACUGGACUGCAACUGACACUGAGGCUCGAAAGUGUGGGUAUCAAACAGGAUUAGAUACCCGAGUAGUC